ensembl:lncRNA
UGUCAAAAAAAAAUUGUCAGGUAUCAGAACACAAGGUACCAGAGAGAAAAUCUUCCUGCAGGUGGCGCUGUUGUCAUGUCCCACCCGAAUUGAUUUCCAAAUACGUCAUCAACGUGUGACCGUGGGAGAGCGUAAGGUCAUUGACCUCACCGGAGUUUUACCGUGGUUCAGGCUCCUAACGACACAAGGUAAGUUUAACUUUUUCUCCCUUUUGUUCAUAUUUUUGCCACAGUUGUGUUAUAUUAAGUUGCAGUUAUGUUGUGAAAGUUACAUAUCAGAGACGGAAAGCCAGUUUUGUACGAAACCAAAUCAGUACUAUUUUUGUCUGGCUAAUUCAUUCUAGCUAGCG